UACGGGGGGGGCAAGCGUUGUUCGGAAUUACUGGGCGUAAAGGGCUCGUAGGCGGCCAACUAAGUCAGACGUGAAAUCCCUCAGCUUAACUGGGGAACUGCGUCUGAUACUGGUUGGCUUGAGUGCAGGAGAGGAACGCGGAAUUCCAGGUGUAGCGGUGAAAUGCGUAGAUAUCUGGAGGAAUACCGGUGGCGAAGGCGGCAUCCUGGACCGACAUUGACGCUGAACGGCGAAAGCUAGGGGAGCAAACGGG
rnacentral:rRNA from 1 species